rnacentral:tRNA from 1 species
GGGGGUGUAGCUUGGUGGCACAGCAUAUGCUUACCAUGUAUAAGGCCCUGGGUUUGAUCCCCAGCACCAAUA